rnacentral:rRNA from 1 species
AGAGUUUGAUCCUGGCUCAGGAUGAACGCUAGCGGCAGGCUUAAUACAUGCAAGUCGUACGGGAUCCGAGAUAGCAAUAUCUUGGUGAGAGUGGCGCACGGGUGCGUAACACGUAUGCAACCUACCUUUAACCGGGACACAACCUCGAGAAAUUGUGGCUAAUAUCCCAUAACACUGCGAAGUGGCAUCACUUUGCAGUUAAAACUCCGGUGGUUAUAGAUGGGCAUGCGCGACAUUAGCUAGUUGGUGAGGUAACGGCCCACCAAGGCUACGAUGUCUAGGGGUUCUGAGAGGAUUAUCCCCCACACUGGUACUGAGACACGGACCAGACUCCUACGGGAGGCAGCAGUGGGGAAUAUUGCGCAAUGGACGAAAGUCUGACGCAGCGACGCCGCGUGUGGGAUGAAGCCUUUCGGGGCGUAAACCACUGUUGCCCGGGACGAACAUCCUCUUUCGAGGGGACUGACGGUACCGGGUGAGGAAGCACCGGCUAACUCUGUGCCAGCAGCCGCGGUAAUACAGAGGGUGCGAGCGUUGUCCGGAAUCACUGGGCGUAAAGGGUGAGUAGGUGGCUGGGUAAGCGUGUGGUGAAAGUCCGGGGCUCAACCCCGGAUCUGCCGUGCGAACUGCCGAGCUCGAGCAAUGUAGAGGCAGGUGGAAUUUCGGGUGUAGCGGUGGAAUGCGUAGAUAUCCGAAAGAACACCAGUGGCGAAGGCGGCCUGCUGGGCAUUUGCUGACACUGAAUCACGACAGCGUGGGGAGCAAACAGGAUUAGAUACCCUGGUAGUCC